UUCUAGAAGUGAUAAAAUGGAGUUCAACUGCUCCAGGCUCUCCACAGGCAUUGUAAGUUGCAGCCAUGCUUUCUCUUGGAAUUGUACAGCAUGUAGAAGUUCUUCCUGAAAGGAAUAUAGGACCAACCCACAGUUAGACAUGCAGUGACUUAUCAUCUCUGAAGGAAGGUGGAGAACUAAUGGACUAAAGCUCUUUCAUGCAUUGAGGAGUGAUAUAUAGACUCAUAAAAGCACUGCUUUAGAUGCCGCUUGGGUAGAACUAUUCUCACAUUUCUCAGAUGGGGCAAGGAGCACGGAGGAGUCUUGCAUUAAUAUCUGGAAUAAGACAGCACAUAUGAGAUACAGUGGCAGUAAUACUAUACAGACCUGUUGU